AAAAUCAAAUGUAAGUCCUACUUCUGGAUUGGCUUGAUAGGAAAGCUCAAUGGAAGUGACCAGCUGCAUUUUGUCUGACACUAUAGACUGACUAUGCCCAUGUUUCAGUCUUUCCACAAGGCUGCUUCCUACAUAGUGAAAUAAUAGACAUAAGAUAUAUCAUAUGCAUAUGAUUUACUGAAAAUAUACAUAUGAUUGGUAGACUAUAUCAAUAUCUAGAAUCAAAUUACUCCUUUUGGACAAAGCCCUUCACUGUUAAAUAUCAAUUUAUAUUUGAUUUCCUGGAUGAAUAUAUAUAU
rnacentral:lncRNA from 10 species